rnacentral:miRNA from 1 species
UCACAGGUUCCCCCUUGCACUAG